rnacentral:rRNA from 1 species
AGAGUUUGAUCAUGGCUCAGGAUGAACGCUGGCGGCGUGCCUAACACAUGCAAGUCGAACGGAGUUAUAUAACGGAAGUUUUCGGAUGGAAGAUAUGUAACUUAGUGGCGGACGGGUGAGUAACGCGUGGGCAACCUGCCCUGUACCGGGGGGAUAACACUUAGAAAUAGGUGCUAAUACCGCAUAAGCGCACAGCUUCGCAUGAAGCAGUGUGAAAAACUCCGGUGGUACAGGAUGGACCCGCGUCUGAUUAGCUAGUUGGUGGGGUAGAGGCCCACCAAGGCGACGAUCAGUAGCCGGCCUGAGAGGGUGACCGGCCACAUUGGGACUGAGACACGGCCCAAACUCCUACGGGAGGCAGCAGGUGGGGAAUAUUGCACAAUGGGGGAAACCCUGAUGCAAGCGACGCCGCGUGAGUGAAGAAGUAUUUCGGUACGUAAAGCUCUAUCAGCAGGGAAGAAAAUGACGGUACCUGACUAAGAAGCCCCGGCUAACUACGUGCCAGCAGCAGC